ACCCUCUUUUUCUUCUUGUCCUCCUCCUCCUCUAAUCCAUUCUUUACCGACGUCCCUUCUCGUCUUCCUCCUCAUCCAUUUUUUGAGAGUGUUUGGUGACCAAACUAGAAUUAUCAUGAUAAUCUAAGAUCACUGGUGAUCCAAAUCCUAGAGGUGAUUUGAUCCCUAGUGAUUUAAGAUCACUAUGUUUGGUCGAUCGUAGUACAGUGAUUAAAGAUCUCUGGAUAUGUAUAAAUAACUGG
rnacentral:lncRNA from 1 species